AUUGAACGCUGGCGGCAGGCCUAACACAUGCAAGUCGAGCGGAUGAAGGGAGCUUGCUCCUGGAUUCAGCGGCGGACGGGUGAGUAAUGCCUAGGAAUCUGCCUGGUAGUGGGGGAUAACGUCCGGAAACGGGCGCUAAUACCGCAUACGUCCUGAGGGAGAAAGUGGGGGUUCUUCGGCCCUCACGCUAUCAGAUGAGCCUAGGUCGGAUUAGCUAGUUGGUGGGGUAAAGGCCUACCAAGGCGACGAUCCGUAACUGGUCUGAGAGGAUGAUCAGUCACACUGGAACUGAGACACGGUCCAGACUCCUACGGGAGGCAGCAGUGGGGAAUAUUGGACAAUGGGCGAAAGCCUGAUCCAGCCAUGCCGCGUGUGUGAAGAAGGUCUUCGGAUUGUAAAGCACUUUAAGUUGGGAGGAAGGGCAGUAAGUUAAUACCUUGCUGUUUUGACGUUACCAACAGAAUAAGCACCGGCUAACUUCGUG
rnacentral:rRNA from 1 species